rnacentral:rRNA from 1 species
GAUCAUGGCUCAGAUUGAACGCUGGCGGCAUGCCUUACACAUGCAAGUCGAACGGCAGCACGGGGGCAACCCUGGUGGCGAGUGGCGAACGGGUGAGUAAUGCAUCGGAACGUGUCCUCUUGUGGGGGAUAACCAGUCGAAAGACUGGCUAAUACCGCAUGAGAUCGAAAGAUGAAAGCGGGGGACCGCAAGGCCUCGCGCGAGAGGAGCGGCCGAUGCCGGAUUAGCUAGUUGGUGGGGUAAAAGCCUACCAAGGCGACGAUCCGUAGCUGGUCUGAGAGGACGACCAGCCACACUGGGACUGAGACACGGCCCAGACUCCUACGGGAGGCAGCAGUGGGGAAUUUUGGACAAUGGGCGCAAGCCUGAUCCAGCCAUGCCGCGUGUGUGAAGAAGGCCUUCGGGUUGUAAAGCACUUUCGGACGGAACGAAAUCGCGCGGUUGAACAUUCCGCGUGGAUGACGGUACCGUAAGAAGAAGCACCGGCUAACUACGUGCCAGCAGCCGCGGUAAUACGUAGGGUGCGAGCGUUAAUCGGAAUUACUGGGCGUAAAGGGUGCGCAGGCGGCCCCGCAUGUCAGGCGUGAAAUCCCCGGGCUCAACCUGGGAAUGGCGCUUGGAACUACGGGGCUGGAGUGUGGCAGAGGGAGGUGGAAUUCCACGUAUAGCGGUGAAAUGCGUAGAGAUGUG